rnacentral:rRNA from 1 species
AUUGAACGCUGGCGGCAGGCCUAACACAUGCAAGUCGAGCGAUCGGCGGACGGGUGAGUAUUGUAUGGGGACUGCCCGAUAGAGGGUGAUAACUACUGGAAACGGUAGCUCAUACCGCAUACUAUCGGAUAACCCAUAUGGGAUUAGCUAGUUGGUGGGGUAAUGGCUAACCUAGGCGACGCUCCCUAGCUGGGCUGAGAGGAUGCUCAGCAACACUGGGAAUGAGACACGGCCGAGACUCCUACGGAGGAAGAAGUGGGGAAUAUUGCACAAUGGGCGAAAGCCUGAUGCAGCCAUGCCGCGUGUAUGAAGAAGGCCCUAGGGUUGUAAAGUACGUUCAGUGGGGAGGAGUUACCGACAGAAGAAGAACCGGCUAACUCCGUGCCAGCAGCCGCGGUAAUUG